GGUAGGGUGCACAGCUUCACGGGAAACAACAAGACAAGGAAAGAUGGUGCACACUUUUUGCUUGGUGGCACUUUCCUGCUUGGUUUUGCCUGCUGUGGGGAAGCCAGAAAGGCAACUGAAAGACUUGCAACUUGGCGAAGACCGACCAUGGCUCACACAAAUACAAGACAACCAGGAACUGACAGACAAACAGAACACGAUGCAGUUGCUCUCCAAACUCUUCAAACAAAACAACAAAAUAAUCUUCGAAGAACCUGGGAAGACGAUGGAGCCGCCGGAGGAGAAUGAGGAGGAAGGAGGACUGGAGAGGAGAGACAGUCCUGAUGUUCGCAAAGCAGGAUGCAGAAUCUUCUUCUGGAAAUCCUGGACUGCCUGCUGACCCUGCCCGCCGCGGCUGCAUUGCUGUGUGAAAAUCAAAGAGAAUUUGGCUUCUGCAA